rnacentral:rRNA from 1 species
UGGGGAAUCUUGUACAAUGGGGGCAACCCUGAUCCAGCCAUGCCGCGUGAGUGAAGAAGGCCCUAGGGUCGUAAAGCUCUUUCGCCGGUGAAGAUAAUGACGGUAGCAGGUAACGAAACCCCGGCUAUCUCCGUGCCAGCAGCCGCGGUAAUACGGAGGGGGUUAGCGUUGUUCGGAAUUACUGGGCGUAAAGCGCGCGUAGGCGGACUGGAAAGUUGGGGGUGAAAUCCCAGGGCUCAACCCUGGAACUGCCUUCAAAACUAUCAGUCUUGAGGUCGAGAGAGGUGAGUGGAAUUCCGAGUGUAGAGGUGAAAUUCGUAGAUAUUCGGAGGAACACCAGUGGCGAAGGCGGCUCACUGGCUCGAUACUGACGCUGAGGUACGAAAGCGUGGGGAGCAAACAGGAUUAGAUACCCCCGUAGUCC